rnacentral:lncRNA from 10 species
UGUAUCUGGUACUGUGCCUAUGCUGGCAUGAUACACUGAACAACAUAAAUACUCAUCCCAGCUCUAAUGGACAUUUCACCAGAGAGAAAGUCAAGAAAAUAAUUACCUCCGUGAUGAUUAUCCUGCAGGAGAGACUUCAGAUAAUAUGAAGAUUUAAAAGCAUCAGUAGCCCUCUUGUGACAACAUUUGGCAGCAUGUGGUUAGGCUAUCAAUGAAUCCAAAGAAUGAGGGCCUGGAUUGACUGCCGAAUUCUUGAGAGUUAUCUUGUCGUGUAAGAUGAAAAGCCAUACCAGAGGCCAUCACAGACAAAAUUCAGGCAUAUCCCCAGACCACCAUGGUGAGGCAGUUGCAAACCUUUGUGGGCCUCCUGGGGUAUUGGCAGGCAUGUGUGCCCCUUUUGGGUCAAAUAAUAAAACACUUGUAUCUGU